GCCGGUGUAGCUCAGUAGGUAGAGCACUCGGCUGUUAACCGAGCGGUCGCAGGUUCGAGCCCUGCCGCCGGCG
rnacentral:tRNA from 1 species